rnacentral:rRNA from 1 species
GAUGAACGCUGGCGGCGUGCUUAACACAUGCAAGUCGAACGAAGCACUUAAACGGAAGUUUUCGGAUGGAAGAUUAAGUGACUGAGUGGCGGACGGGUGAGUAACGCGUGGGCAACCUGCCUCAUACAAGGGGAUAACAGUUAGAAAUAGCUGCUAAUACCGUAUAAGCUUACGGUACCGCAUGGUACAGUAAGAAAAACUCCGGUGGUAUGAGAUGGGCCCGCGUCUGAUUAGCUAGUUGGUAAGGUAACGGCUUACCAAGGCGACGAUCAGUAGCCGACCUGGGAGGGUGACCGGCCACAUUGGGACUGAGGCACGGCCCAAACUCCUACGGGAGGAAGCAGUGGGGAAUAUUGCACAAUGGGGGAAACCCUGAUGCAGCGACGCCGCGUGAAGGAAGAAGUAUUUCGGUAUGUAAACUUCUAUCAGCAGGGAAGAAAAUGACGGUACCUGACUAAGAAGCCCCGGCUAAUUACGUGCCAGCCGC